GUUCGUGGGUGACCUGCGGAGGAUCAUUA
rnacentral:rRNA from 1 species